GGUGAGAUGGCCGAGCGGUCUAAGGCGCUGUGUUCAGGUUUGAUUCAAACUACGACGAUUCGCAGUCUCGAAAGGGGCCUGGGUUCGAAUCCCAGUCUCAUCA